UGGAAAUGGCGGCAGCCUACAAAUGCAAGUCGAGCGGAUGAAGGGAGCUUGCUCCUGGAUUCAGCGGCGGACGGGUGAGUAAUGCCUAGGAAUCUGCCUGGUAGUGGGGGAUAACGUCCGGAAACGGGCGCUAAUACCGCAUACGUCCUGAGGGAGAAAGUGGGGGAUCUUCGGACCUCACGCUAUCAGAUGAGCCUAGGUCGGAUUAGCUAGUUGGUGGGGUAAAGGCCUACCAAGGCGACGAUCCGUAACUGGUCUGAGAGGAUGAUCAGUCACACUGGAACUGAGACACGGUCCAGACUCCUACGGGAGGCAGCAGUGGGGAAUAUUGGACAAUGGGCGAAAGCCUGAUCCAGCCAUGCCGCGUGUGUGAAGAAGGUCUUCGGAUUGUAAAGCACUUUAAGUUGGGAGGAAGGGCAGUAAGUUAAUACCUUGCUGUUUUGACGUUACCAACAGAAUAAGCACCGGCUAACUUCGUGCCAGCAGCCGCGGUAAUACAAAGGGUGCAAGCGUUAAUCGGAAUUACUGGGCGUAAAGCGCGCGUAGGUGGUUCAGCAAGUUGGAUGUGAAAUCCCCGGGCUCAACCUGGGAACUGCAUCCAAAACUACUGAGCUAGAGUACGGUAGAGGGUGGUGGAAUUUCCUGUGUAGCGGUGAAAUGCGUAGAUAUAGGAAGGAACACCAGUGGCGAAGGCGACCACCUGGACUGAUACUGACACUGAGGUGCGAAAGCGUGGGGAGCAUCAGGAUUAGAUACCUUGCUAGUCCACGCCGUAACGAUGUCGACUAGCCGUUGGGAUCCUUGAGAUCUUAUUGGCGCAGCUAACGCGAUAAGUCGACCGCCUGGGGGAGUACGGCCGCAAGGUUAAAACUCAAAUGAAUUGACGGGGCCCGCACAAGCGGUGGAGCAUGUGGUUUAAUUCGAAGCAACGCCGAAAACCCUACCUGCCCUCUGACA
rnacentral:rRNA from 1 species